rnacentral:rRNA from 1 species
CCUACGGGUGGCAGCAGUGAGGAAUAUUGGUCAAUGGACGCAAGUCUGAACCAGCCAUGCCGCGUGCAGGAAGCCGGCUCUAUGAGUUGUAAACUGCUUUUGUACGAGGUUAACCGCAGAUACGCGUAUCUGUCUGAAAGUCUCGUACGAAUAAGGAUCGGCUAACUCCGUGCCCGCAGCCGCGGUAAUACGGAGGAUUCAAGCGUUAUCCGGAUUUAUUGGGUUUAAAGGGUGCGUAGGCGGUCGGAUAAGUUAGAGGUGAAAUCCCGAGGCUCAACUUCGGAAUUGCCUCUGAUACUGUUCGGCGAGAGAGUAGUUGCGGUAGGCGGAAUGUAUGGUGUAGCGGGGAAAUGCUUAGAGAUCAUACAGAACACCGAUUGCGAAGGCAGCUUACCAAGCUACUUCUGACGUUGAGGCACGAAAGCGUGGGGAGCAAACAGGAUUAGAUACCCCUGUAGUC